rnacentral:piRNA from 1 species
UCGACAUUUUCAGGUUUUGUA